GGCCCGCACAAGCGGAGGAGCAUGUGGUUUAAUUCGAUGAUACGCGAGGAACCUUACCUAGACUUGAACGUAAGAGGGAUAUUUAAGAAAUUAGAUAGCCAGCAAUGGCCUCUUACGAGGUGCUGCAUGGUUGUCGUCAGCUCGUGCCGUGAGGUGUCAGGUUAAGUCCUAUAACGAGCGCAACCCCUGCACAUAGUUGCCAGCAUGUAAUGAUGGGGAAACUCUAUGUGGACUGCCGGCGCAAGCCGCGAGGAAGGUGGGGAUGACGUCAAAUCAGCACGGCCCUUACGUCUAGGGCGACACACGUGCUACAAUGGCCGAUACAGAGGGCAGCUACCUGGCGACAGGAUGCGAAUCUCGAAAGUCGGUCUCAGUUCGGAUCGGAGUCUGCAACUCGACUCCGUGAAGUCGGAUUCGCUAGUAAUCGCGCAUCAGCCAUGGCGCGGUGAAUACG
rnacentral:rRNA from 1 species